rnacentral:rRNA from 1 species
UCCAGACUCCUACGGGAGGCAGCAGUGGGGAAUAUUGCACAAUGGGGGGAACCCUGAUGCAGCGACGCCGCGUGGGUGAAGGAGCGUUUCGGCGCGUAAAGCCCUAUCGGCAGGGAAGAAGGAGGACGGUACCUGACUAAGAAGCCCCGGCUAACUACGUGCCAGCAGCCGCGGUAAUACGUAGGGGGCAAGCGUUAUCCGGAUUUACUGGGUGUAAAGGGGGCGCAGACGGCAGCGCAAGCCAGGAGUGAAAGCCCGGGGCCCAACCCCGGGACUGCUCUUGGAACUGCGCGGCUGGAGUGCAGGAGGGGCAGGCGGAAUUCCUAGUGUAGCGGUGAAAUGCGUAGAUAUCAGGAGGAACACCGGUGGCGAAGGCGGCCUGCUGGGCUGCGACUGACGUUGAGGCCCGAAAGCGUGGGGAGCAAACAGGAUUAGAUACCCCUGUA